GAUGAAGAACGUAGUGAAAUGCGAUAAGUAAUGUGAAUUGCAGAAUUCAGUGAAUCAUCGAAUCUUUGAACGCGCAUUGCGCCCUCUGGUAUUCCGGGGGGCAUGCCUGUUCGAGCGUCAUUAUAACCACUCAAGCUCUCGCUUGGUAUUGGAGUUCGCGAUCUCGCGGCUCCUAAAAUCAGUGGCGGUGCCUGUCGGCUCUACGCGUAGUAAUACUCCUCGCGAUUGAGUCCGGUAGGUUUACUUGCCAGCAACCCCCAAUUUUUACAGGUUGACCUCGGAUCAGGUAGGGAUACCCGCUGAACUUAAGCAUAUCAAUAAGCGGAGGA
rnacentral:misc_RNA from 1 species